rnacentral:rRNA from 1 species
CCUACGGGUGGCUGCAGUAGGGAAUAUUGCUCAAUGGGCGAAACCCUGAAGCAGCAACGCCGCGUGGAGGAUGAAGGUUUUCGGAUUGUAAACGCCUUUUGUUAGAGAAGAUAAUGAUGGUAUCUAUAGAAUAAGCACCGGCUAACUCCGUGCCAGCAGCCGCGGUAAUACGGAGGGCGCAAGCGUUACUCGGAAUCACUGGGCGUAAAGAGCGCGUAGGCGGGUUAGCAAGUCAGAUGUGAAAUCCUAUGGCUUAACCAGAGAACUGCAUUUGAAACUGGUAUUCUAGAGUAUGGGAGAGGGAGGUAGAAUUCUUGGUGUAGGAGUGAAAUGCGUAGAGAUCAAGAGGAAUACUCAUUGCGAAGGCGACCUGCUGGAACAUAACUGACGCUGAUGCGCGAAAGCGUGGGGAGCAAACAGGAUUAGAUACCCGUGUAGUC